rnacentral:rRNA from 1 species
CAUUGGCGGCGUGCUAUACAUGCAAGUCGAGCGGACAGAUGGGAGCUUGCUCCCUGAUGUUAGCGGCGGACGGGUGAGUAACACGUGGGUAACCUGCCUGUAAGACUGGGAUAACUCCGGGAAACCGGGGCUAAUACCGGAUGGUUGUUUGAACCGCAUGGUUCAAACAUAAAAGGUGGCUUCGGCUACCACUUACAGAUGGACCCGCGGCGCAUUAGCUAGUUGGUGAGGUAAUGGCUCACCAAGGCAACGAUGCGUAGCCGACCUGAGAGGGUGAUCGGCCACACUGGGACUGAGACACGGCCCAGACUCCUACGGGAGGCAGCAGUAGGGAAUCUUCCGCAAUGGACGAAAGUCUGACGGAGCAACGCCGCGUGAGUGAUGAAGGUUUUCGGAUCGUAAAGCUCUGUUGUUAGGGAAGAACAAGUACCGUUCGAAUAGGGCGGUACCUUGACGGUACCUAACCAGAAAGCCACGGCUAACUACGUGCCAGCAGCCGCGGUAAUACGUAGGUGGCAAGCGUUGUCCGGAAUUAUUGGGCGUAAAGGGCUCGCAGGCGGUUUCUUAAGUCUGAUGUGAAAGCCCCCGGCUCAACCGGGGAGGGUCAUUGGAAACUGGGGAACUUGAGUGCAGAAGAGGAGAGUGGAAUUCCACGUGUAGCGGUGAAAUGCGUAGAGAUGUGGAGGAACACCAGUGGCGAAGGCGACUCUCUGGUCUGUAACUGACGCUGAGGAGCGAAAGCGUGGGGAGCGAACAGGAUUAGAUACCCUGGUAGUCCACGCCGUAAACGAUGAGUGCUAAGUGUUAGGGGGUUUCCGCCCCUUAGUGCUGCAGCUAACGCAUUAAGCACUCCGCCUGGGGAGUACGGUCGCAAGACUGAAACUCAAAGGAAUUGACGGGGGCCCGCACAAGCGGUGGAGCAUGUGGUUUAAUUCGAAGCAACGCGAAGAACCUUACCAGGUCUUGACAUCCUCUGACAAUCCUAGAGAUAGGACGUCCCCUUCGGGGGCAGAGUGACAGGUGGUGCAUGGUUGUCGUCAGCUCGUGUCGUGAGAUGUUGGGUUAAGUCCCGCAACGAGCGCAACCCUUGAUCUUAGUUGCCAGCAUUCAGUUGGGCACUCUAAGGUGACUGCCGGUGACAAACCGGAGGAAGGUGGGGAUGACGUCAAAUCAUCAUGCCCCUUAUGACCUGGGCUACACACGUGCUACAAUGGACAGAACAAAGGGCAGCGAAACCGCGAGGUUAAGCCAAUCCCACAAAUCUGUUCUCAGUUCGGAUCGCAGUCUGCAACUCGACUGCGUGAAGCUGGAAUCGCAGUAAUCGCGGAAU